GCGGGGGUGUCUAAUACAUGCAAGUCGAGCGAAUGGAUUAAGAGCUUGCUCUUAUGAAGUUAGCGGCGGACGGGUGAGUAACACGUGGGUAACCUGCCCAUAAGACUGGGAUAACUCCGGGAAACCGGGGCUAAUACCGGAUAACAUUUUGAACCGCAUGGUUCGAAAUUGAAAGGCGGCUUCGGCUGUCACUUAUGGAUGGACCCGCGUCGCAUUAGCUAGUUGGUGAGGUAACGGCUCACCAAGGCAACGAUGCGUAGCCGACCUGAGAGGGUGAUCGGCCACACUGGGACUGAGACACGGCCCAGACUCCUACGGGAGGCAGCAGUAGGGAAUCUUCCGCAAUGGACGAAAGUCUGACGGAGCAACGCCGCGUGAGUGAUGAAGGCUUUCGGGUCGUAAAACUCUGUUGUUAGGGAAGAACAAGUGCUAGUUGAAUAAGCUGGCACCUUGACGGUACCUAACCAGAAAGCCACGGCUAACUACGUGCCAGCAGCCGCGGUAAUACGUAGGUGGCAAGCGUUAUCCGGAAUUAUUGGGCGUAAAGCGCGCGCAGGUGGUUUCUUAAGUCUGAUGUGAAAGCCCACGGCUCAACCGUGGAGGGUCAUUGGAAACUGGGAGACUUGAGUGCAGAAGAGGAAAGUGGAAUUCCAUGUGUAGCGGUGAAAUGCGUAGAGAUAUGGAGGAACACCAGUGGCGAAGGCGACUUUCUGGUCUGUAACUGACACUGAGGCGCUAGUUGCUCCGCUGG
rnacentral:rRNA from 1 species